rnacentral:rRNA from 2 species
AGUAACGGCGAGUGAACAGGGAAAAGCCCAAAUUUGUAAUCUGGCACUUUUUACAAGUGUCCGAGUUGUAAUUUGUAGAGCUGUUAUCCGUACUGGACCAUGUACAAGUCUGUUGAAAAGCAGCAUCAUUGAAGGUGAAAAUCCUGUAGAUGAUAUGGACUACCAGUAUAUUUGUGAUACGGUUUCUAAGAGUCGAGUUGUUUGGGAAUGCAGCUCAAAGUGGGUGGUAAAUUCCAUCUAAGGCUAAAUAUAAGUGAGAGACCGAUAGCAAACAAGUACCGUGAGGGAAAGAUGAAAAGAACUUUGAAAAUAGAGUUAACAGUACGUGAAAUUGCUGAAAGGGAAACGUUUGAAGUUAGUUUUGUAUUCGUUGGAUCAGCUUCGCAAGGAGUGUAUUCUGAUGAUAAGCAAGUCAACAUCAGUCUAUGAGUGUUGGAUAAGGGUUUUGAGAAUGUAGCAAUUUAAUUGUGUUAUAGCUUGAGACUUGGAUACAAUGCUUUGGAUUGAGGAACGCGUAGUAAGCUUUGAGCGGAUUCGAAAGGAUCUCCUUACUAUGGAUGUUGGUGAAAUAACUUUAAGCGACCCGUCU